rnacentral:misc_RNA from 1 species
AAAGUCGUAACAAGGUUUCCGUAGGUGAACCUGCGGAAGGAUCAUUAUUGAAUAAACUUUGGUGGGUUGUCGCUGGCCUCUAGGGGCAUGUGCACGCCUUCCUUUGUUUCUUCUUUCACCCACCUGUGCACAUUUUGUAGGCUUUGGAUAUCUCUCGAGGAGACUCGGUCCUUGGAGGGGUUGUCAUUCGUGGCCGCCUCUCUACAUUUCCGGCCUACGUUCUUCAUAUACACCAUUGUAUGUUACUGAAUGCAUCGAUUUGGGCCGUCAAAGGCCUAUAAACCUUAUACAACUUUCAACAACGGAUCUCUUGGCUCUC